rnacentral:lncRNA from 1 species
GGCUCCCGCCUGGCUGGGAGGCGGGAGGGAUCCCGCUCCUGUUGUUUUCCGCCGGCAGGAGUAGGCUGGCGGGCGCAGGGGGCGGGGUGCGCCCUCCCUCCCCGGCCAGGGCGCUCGGGAGCGGGGACCCGAGCCUGCAGCCGAGCUCCGCUGCCGGCCCUGGACACUCGGCUCAGCCAAGCAUCCUUCCUGGGGGCCGAGGAAGUGGGGCCACUCUGCCGUUCCGAGGACCUGGGAGGAGCCCUCGGUACCCCGGGCCCCGGGGCCCUGGGGCACACACGUCCAGCCCAGCCCGAGCCUGCGUUUCCUGAGCCGGGAUCUGGGGCGAGAUGGCCGCAGGCGGCAGUGCGCCCGAGCCCCGCGUCCUCGUCUGCCUCGGGGCGCUCCUGGCCGGCUGGGUCGCCGUAGGUUGAACUCGCCUUACACCUGUAACCGGUGGACUUCCCUACACACCUUUGCAAGUCUUCCUGUGCCGACCAGCGCCUUCAAAGCGGGGUCUUCCGCCUUUACUUUUGGAAAAGCUUUUUAUUUUGAAAUACUUGGCUGACUUACAAAAGACUUCCCCUCACACUUGACAUGAUUGACAAAAGGAUUGGAGGCUGUUGUCAUUGGAGAAGUUCAUGAGAAUGUUACUCUGCACUGUGGCAACAUCUCGGGACUGAGGGGCCAGGUGACCUGGUACCGGAACAACUCGGAGCCUGUCUUCCUUCUCUCGUCCAACUCUAGCCUCCGGCCAGCUGAGCCUCGCUUCUCUCUAGUGGAUGCCACCUCCCUGCACAUUGAAUCGCUGAGCCUGGGAGAUGAGGGAAUCUACACCUGCCAGGAGAUCCUGAAUGUGACUCAGUGGUUCCAAGUGUGGCUGCAGGUGGCCAGCGGCCCCUAUCAGAUUGAGGUCCACAUCGUGGCCACCGGCACACUCCCCAACGGCACCCUCUACGCAGCCAGGGGCUCCCAGGUGGACUUCAGCUGCAACAGCAGCUCCAGGCCACCACCCGUGGUUGAAUGGUGGUUCCAGGCCCUGAAU